GAUGUUUGCAUAAUGGAAUCACGGACUGAAGAGAUGAUCGUGCUGUACCCCUUUGAGUGUGGGCCAACUACUUGGGUUUCCUGGCCCAAGAGUGGAGCUUGGAGGCUGUGAAGCUUGAAUAUGGCAUUGAACCCUGUUCCUGAGAAAAUGUCCUACUCGUAUUCCACUUUAUGUGACUGUAUGUGACCUGCGAUGGGCAGGUGUCACAAAGGUGUACAAGAAUAGGCAAUAUGCAUGGGUGUCAGUUAAUCUAGCAAUCAUACUACCUUAAAUAUAGUAGUUUCUGAAAAGGUAAAAUGAAUUGUCAUUGAAUAAAUUAAUAAAUAAAUUGAUGGGAACUUAAUAUUUUGGUUUGUUUUGAAAUAUAACAGGAUGACACAUUCUGGACGCGUCACUGAAUGCUGAAUGCCAACCCCCCAACUGACACCGCUGCCUUGUUCCAAAUCGCAUCUUUUAAAAUUGUACAGUGGGCAGAGACUGGGCAAAAGCUGGUGUUUCAUUAUUACCCUUUAAGUGCUUUUUUGUUAAGUCCAUGUCACUGCAGCUUCAAUUAUUAACAGUGUAUACAUUACCAGGGGAAAUAAAACCUGAAAAUCUGAGAUUCUAAGGCGUGGCUGUCUUUGCAGAUGCAGCUGCCUCUGUCAAAUACUUUUCUUCUACUUUGCUAAAUUGAAGAAGCUGUAUACCUACGCCCUGAUGAAGCCCAUUGGCUAAUGAAAUGGGCAAACACCUCCAGUCCCAAAAAGCAAAAAACCAAUGUCUCUGACAAUUUUUUUCUUCUUAUAUGUCAGCCUCAAAAUGGCUACUGUGACUGUCAUUGGCGCAACUCUGGUCCUCAUGUUGACAAAAGUCAAUCACUGAUUCCAGUAAAAAGCCUAGAAUCUAGACUAGAUACUGAAAGCUCUAUUAUACCUGCACUAAGGAAGUGAUUGAAUGCAUCUGAUUAAUGAGAAGCAACUGAGAAGUCAAAUGUAUGGAACAUUAAAAUUUUUAAAUCUAUAUAUGCACAUGUAUUUUGUUAAAAAAUGAAGAAAAAGUAAAAGUAUGCAUGUGUGUCAUUUACAGUAUGUUAGAAUUCAGAUUUGCAGAAUCAUUGUUCUCGUGUGUGCUGCUUUUCAACAUUUUUCUUGUCCCUUUGUCAUGGAUCCUUAUGUCAAUGCUUACUUUGUCAUAUGCAAUGAAAUAACAGAAACGACAAUAUGCCGGGGGGAAAAUGUAAAAUUUAUUUCCAAAUAUCAAUAACACUUUCAUCAAGAACUUUCACUGUUUGUGGCUUUUACUUCCUCUGCAGAAUGAACAUCAAUUAGACUUUUUGGAAAAUAGUAACAUAUAAUGAUCACAAAUGAAGAAUAGCAAGUUAUGGCUCUGAAAAGAAACAGGAAGAGACAGAAGAGGACACUGGCGAUCAUUAUGUGAUCUAGAUCCUAUGAACUACUAGCCAUGUAAUAUCAGGAUGAAUGCCUGUAGAGCUAGCAAGAGACUGUGGAAUAUGAGUCAGAGAGACAGAGUCAAAAUGGAGUUUGGAGAACUUCGAUGGUGGAGAAAUCUCCAGCCUUCUGGGUUGAAAGCCUACCCUGGAUCAGGUAGGCCUACAACUUGUUGCCUGUCUCCUCCACUGGAUUAUCUCCAUUCACCUGCUGCCUGGGCUACCUAUGUUCCCUGAGGAGGAGAGGGAGGUGGAGGUGCCGGCGGCUCAGCUCCUCUUUUGGCGGGCCCGUCAACCUGGAAGAGGGCCUGAACCACACUUUUAAAAAGCGUCACUGAAAUGCGGAGGUUCACCGACCACCGCCGGGGCCCUGCCCGCACUACACUGUCAGCCAGAAGGUCUGGCUGUCUUCCAGGGACAUUCCCCUCCACUCCACCUGCCCCAAGCUUACCGCCAGAUUCAUUGGCCCCUUCACCAUCACCCGUGUUCUCACCCCUUCUGCAGUCAGACUUUGCCUCCACUCCCCACCCGUCUCAUCAAAGUUCCUGGAGGAGUGGGAGGGGUACAGGCCCGAGGAAAACUUGUGGGUGCCUAAACACCACAUCCAAGUGCCACCAGAAUCAUCCACAAAGAAAUCUGAGAUAAAAAUAUAAAUAUAUUUGUAUAAAUAUACAAUUCAUCCAGUUA